rnacentral:rRNA from 1 species
GACAGAGGGUGCAAACGUUGUUCGGAAUUACUGGGCGUAAAGCGCGUGUAGGCGGCUAAGUAAGUCGGGCGUGAAAUCCCACGGCUCAACCGUGGAAGUGCACUCGAAACUGCAUAGCUAGAGUCCUGGAGAGGAAGGUGGAAUGCUUGGUGUAGAGGUGAAAUUCGUAGAUAUCAAGCGGAACACCGGUGGCGAAGGCGG